rnacentral:rRNA from 1 species
CCAGAAAGUCACGGCUAACUACGUGCCAGCAGCCGCGGUAAUACGUAGGUGGCAAGCGUUAUCCGGAUUAUUGGGCGUAAAGAGAGUGCAGGCGGUUUCUAAGUCUGAUGUGAAAGACCUUCGGCUUAACCGGAGAAGUGCAUCGGAAACUAGGAUAACUUGAGUGCAGAAGAGGGUAGUGGAACUCCAUGUGUAGCGGUGGAAUGCGUAGAUAUAUGGAAGAACACCAGUGGCGAAGGCGGCUACCUGGUCUGCAACUGACGCUGAGACUCGAAAGCAUGGGUAGCGAACAGGAUUAGAUACCCUGGUAG